AACAACUGGGGGUACUGGGUUUUAAAGUCUGAUUCUAGCUUCCAUGUAGCCUCCCUAGGUGUGUGGUUCUACCAUACGACCUUUACAAAGGAUAUUUCCUGGCAGCGGAGUAAUCUGCUCUUUCGAUCCAUAAUGUCGACUGGUACUUCCUUGUAGGAUAAGUUCUCCUGGAGUGGGAGGUUUUCGUGGGCCAAGACAUGAGACGGGUCCGGGUUGUACUUGCGUAGCAUGGACACAUGAAACACAUUAUGGACCUUAGAAAGUUCUGGAGGCAGUGCUAGUCUGCAGGCGGCAGUACCAAUCCUAUCUAAGACUUCAAAUGGUCCAAUAAAUCGGGGGUUCAGUUUCUCCCUCUUGCCGAACAUACUGAUUCCCUUAAAAGGAGUGACCUUAAGGAAUACUCGGUCGCCUUCCUCAAAUGC
rnacentral:lncRNA from 1 species